rnacentral:rRNA from 1 species
GACGAACGCUGGCGGCGUGCUUAACACAUGCAAGUCGAACGGAAAGGCCCUGCUUUUGUGGGGUGCUCGAGUGGCGAACGGGUGAGUAACACGUGAGUAACCUGCCCUUGACUUUGGGAUAACUUCAGGAAACUGGGGCUAAUACCGGAUAGGAGCUCCUGCUGCAUGGUGGGGGUUGGAAAGUUUCGGCGGUUGGGGAUGGACUCGCGGCUUAUCAGCUUGUUGGUGGGGUAGUGGCUUACCAAGGCUUUGACGGGUAGCCGGCCUGAGAGGGUGACCGGGCACAAUGGGAAUGAGGUACGGCCCAGAAUCCUACGGGAGGCAGCAGUGGGGAAUAUUGCACAAUGGGCGGAAGCCUGAUGCAGCAACGCCGCGUGCGGGAUGACGGCCUUCGGGUUGUAAACCGCUUUCGCCUGUGACGAAGCGUGAGUGACGGUAAUGGGUAAAGAAGCACCGGCUAACUACGUG